AACGAACGCUGGCGGCAGGCCUAACACAUGCAAGUCGAGCGCGCCCUCCGGGGUGAGCGUCGGACGGGUGAGUAACGCGGGGGAACGUGCCCUUCUCUGCGGAAUAGCCUCGGGAAACGGAGAGUAAUACCGCAUACGCUCUUUGGGGGAAAGAUUUAUCGGAGAAGGAUCGGCCCGCGUGGGAUUAGGUAGUUGGUGGGGUAAUGGCCCACCAAGCCGACGAUCCAUAGCUGGUUUGAGAGGAUGAUCAGCCACACUGGGACUGAGACACGGCCCAGACUCCUACGGGAGGCAGCAGUGGGGAAUCUUAGAAAAUGGGGGCAACCCUGAUCUAGCCAUGCCGCGUGAGUGAUGAAGGCCUUAGGGUUGUAAAGCUCUUUCAGCUGGGAAGAUAAUGACGGUACCAGCAGAAGAAGCCCCGGCUAACUACGUG
rnacentral:rRNA from 1 species